CCUACGGGAGGCAGCAGUGGGGAAUCUUGGACAAUGGGCGCAAGCCUGAUCCAGCCAUGCCGCGUGAGUGAAGAAGGCCUUAGGGUUGUAAAGCUCUUUUGCCAGGGACGAUAAUGACGGUACCUGGAGAAUAAGCCCCGGCAAACUUCGUGCCAGCAGCCGCGGUAAU
rnacentral:rRNA from 2 species